rnacentral:sRNA from 1 species
AAUAGUAACAUGAUAGGAAACUAGUACCGUGAAGGCAAGCUAAACUUUGUAGUUUUUUGUGAAAUACACAAAACCUAUAAUAUUACAAACUUAAAGAUAAUAUUACAAACUUAAAGAUGUCUAAGAAGUAAAUGAUUUAGUUCAAUAAUCCAUAGUAGUUAGGAAAUAAGUUGAGUUUCAUCUAAGCUAGUUUUUCUGUUUUAAAUUCAGCAGGUUUCAAAAGCCACAGGAUGAAAAACUUUUGAAUUCUGAUCACUGGGCCUUGAGAUUAGCUACAACGAACUCUGCCCAGAGACUGUUUUGAAGUUGUCUCUAAAUAUUAUUAUUUUAUUUUUCCCAGACUCCCUUAAAUGUCAUCCCUCUUUUAUUUGUACUGUAGCAAACCAUUUUUGCCUUUCUGAAUUUUCAGGUGAUAGAUUCAUCAGAUGUUGUAGUUCAAGUUCUUGAUGCUAGAGAUCCAAUGGGUACUCGUUCCCCUCACAUUGAAACUUACCUGAAGAAGGAAAAACCUUGGAAACACCUCAUUUUUGUACUUAACAAAUGUGACCUUGUUCCAACCUGGGCAACAAAACGGUGGGUUGCUGUCCUCUCCCAGGAUUAUCCAACACUUGCUUUCCAUGCAAGCCUUA